UACGUAGGGGGCAAGCGUUGUCCGGAAUUAUUGGGCGUAAAGAGCGCGUAGGCGGUCCGAUAAGUCGGCUGUGAAAGUCAGGGGCUCAACCCUUGGAAGCCGGCCGAUACUGUCGGACUAGAGUCCGGAAGAGGCGAGUGGAAUUCCCGGUGUAGCGGUGAAAUGCGCAGAUAUCGGGAGGAACACCAAUGGCGAAGGCAGCUCGCUGGGACGGUACUGACGCUCAGGCACGAAAGCGUGGGGAGCAAACAGG
rnacentral:rRNA from 1 species